GUGGUGUGAACUAAGGUAAUUUAUUUUUUAUAUAAAUUGCUUGUUAUCAGACAUAAUCUACUCUCAGUUGACUAUUUUGUCAAUAAUUAUAUGCGAAGUCUACCGGAAGUUUAAAAGUAGUUCGGAUCACAAAAGCCUGUUUAUGGCCGUUUCUGCCUGCAGCCUUCGGAGGCCGCAUUUGUUAGUGUUUGGAGUCGUAUUUGUAAGCUGCAUACGUCAUUAUGACUGUCUUAUUAUAAAGUUGACUAUUAUUAACUGUAAACUGUUGUAAUAUGCUUAUGACUUGCGAACGUAAUGCUCAGUUAACUUAAACAAACAAGGCUUGAUGACGUAUACAGCCUGCAUAUGCGACCUCCGCAGGCUGCAACCUUCGGAUUGAGAAACGGCCUAUGUAUGUUGUUGCUGAAACGAAACCAUCCCGUUAGCACACUUGUAAUUCCGGUCCGGAGGUAAACAUAAUAUUCACUACAGUUGUGUGCGGAAAGUAUGUUGGCACAUCUUAUAGUUGUCAGAGGAAGCGAUGGGGGCACGUUUAAUGACAGUGUCUUCUGUUUCUGUCAAAGCCAGGAUCAUUUUGAAAAACAAACACCUGGUUGGGUUAUUUUGACCCAGCAAUUGGUUUAUUAAUUGCCGCACUUUCUGGAUUCUUCGCUUCUGACUGGAUCACGCUACUCGGACCAGGCGGUAUUUCAUGUUGUUAUGAGAAACAUGCCUCAUCGUUAAGUCGUAGUCGAGCUAUAUCUGCAUUCUUUUGAAAUAUUCAAGUUCAGUAGAAUCCACUGAAUUGACCCCAACAGAUCAUAUCACCAUGACAGUGAAACUUUUUUCAGCCUUUGCAGUUUGUCAGAUUUUGGAAAGCACCCCUGAGAGGAAAUCCGUAUUAAACCGUUAAAGUGCAAGCAAUUACCAACAAGCAGAGGAGGCUACUUGUGAGACUCCUUGCAUCCCAUCUGCUGGAAACCAAUGGUGAAACCUGAGCCAUCAUCAGACACUAAGAAGGCAUGUGACAAGGCAUUGGUGUAUGAAUUUCCUUGCCUGAAGGAUAUACAGCUGCUAAAGGGGAAACAGCACUGAAGAUGCCAACUCUGCUAGCUCCAUCCAUUUACAGGGGAGGAGGAGAAGUCUUCAGACCUACCACUGUGGAGGCCCAGAGGUCCUUUAUUGACAUGCAACCUGUGGGGACCAACAUGGUGGAAUAUCUGCAAAAUCAGAGAUGUUGCACGUUUUGUGACUUGGGGACGAGCCAAGAAGGACCUGCCAGACCUUUGCCAUUGUUGGAGGCAAUGCCUCUGAGACAAACUCUUUGGUGAAGGAUGUUGAUGUCUUUGAUGUUAACUACACAAAGCAAUAGGUGUGUUCGACUUCAUGCAGCGCUGCGCAGACCGAUCGGCAGGUGACUUGAAGCAGUGCAUUUUGGUUAGUACUUUUGUCCGACUUCAGCUGGCGCUGCAGGCACGUGACUGUGUCAUAUGGUUUUUAAGUUCCGCGAGAGCGUUUCGAGAGUAGCCAGCUGGCUCAGCCGGUGCAGCUUCUCCAGAGCGGCUGCCCGGAGUUGUGAUGACGUAACAGCUUUACUUGAUUGGUCGCUUCAUUGAUGACAACGAUCACGUGCGUUUCAAGUUUAAUCCAACCUUUAGUUUCACUAAUAAACAUUAUAAAUUCAUGUUUUAAAACAGGAAAAAAACACUUUAAUAUCCUAAAAUAUGUUAUAUUGUGUCGUGUAAUAAAAUAAAAAUGAAAAUAACAAACUCUAUUGGUAUUUUAAUAAUAUAGGCUUGUUUCCCGUUAUUUUCGGGUAUACAGUUUAAGCAGCAAUUAAAAUAUUCGAUAUAAAAUGUUUCUGGUUGCAACUUUUUAUCAAAAGGUUUGUUUUUAUCAAAUUCAGCAUCUAAUUCACUUAAUUUGCGAUUAUAAACAAGGAAACACGGCGCACACGUCACUACGGCAAGCAGCAGGUGUCCGGCUUGACGGCUCCGUCUUCAGUUCCUCCCUCGACUGCAAGCGGCAAACCUCGUCGAUCGGUCUGCGCAGCGCCGGAUGAUCUCGAACACACCUAUUGUCUUCCCACCUGGGAGUUUCACCAGGAUGCCAUUUAUCAGAUUGAUGGACAUGAGUCCUCCUCUGUUAACAUUUUGAGGACAACAUUUAAUCACUAAUAAUUAACUAUUUCAGUGCUAUGUUUGAAAGAUUCGCCCACAAUGCAAUGCCAACAGGAGUUUACUUACAGGCUGUGAGGUCAAGUGGGAGGAAUUAUGAUAAUUUCGGUCUUGUCUACGUCACCAAUCCCAGGAAGUAAACUGUUGCCUACAAUCUGUGUUUGUUGUAGUCCAAGAAAAGAGAUCACUCGCAUUAUCGUUUACUUUGGGGUUUGUACCUUUUGCAUAUCGUUAACAUGAAUUAAUACACAAUUACACACCAAAGGAAAUGUAAAAAUGUGAAUCGGACCAUAGCUGCUCUUUAAAAAAAAAUUUGUUUCAGGGCUUCUUGUUUUUAAUAACAUUUUGAUGAAUGAAAAUGUAAAGUAAAUGAAAUGCUAAUCAUCAUAGUUUAAAUAUUAAGAGAUAUAAAGUCCGUGGGGAUUGUUUGAUGUCAUAAUGGGGUUGUAACUUUUGUAUUAUACAAAUAUACAAAAAUGUAAUUAAAACAUUGUAUUAAAUGUAAAAAAAAAUUAAAUGCAAUUUAAAUCACA